rnacentral:rRNA from 1 species
UACGGGGGGGGCAAGCGUUGUUCGGAAUUACUGGGCGUAAAGGGUUUGUAGGUGGCUUGCUAAGUCAGACGUGAAAUCCCUCAGCUUAACUGGGGAACUGCGUCUGAUACUGGCGAGCUUGAGUGCAGGAGAGGAACGCGGAAUUCCAGGUGUAGCGGUGAAAUGCGUAGAUAUCUGGAGGAGCACCGGUGGCGAAGGCGGCGUUCUGGACUGUAACUGACACUGAGAAACGAAAGCCAGGGUAGCAAACGGG